rnacentral:rRNA from 1 species
CCUCCCUACGGGAGGCAGCAGUGGGGAAUAUUGCACAAUGGGCGCAAGCCUGAUGCAGCAACGCCGCGUGAGGGAUGACGGCCUUCGGGUUGUAAACCUCUUUUAGUAGGGAAGAAGCGAAAGUGACGGUACCUGCAGAAAAAGCACCGGCUAACUACGUGCCAGCAGCCGCGGUAAUACGUAGGGUGCAAGCGUUGUCCGGAAUUAUUGGGCGUAAAGAGCUCGUAGGCGGUUUGUCGCGUCUGCUGUGAAAACUGGAGGCUCAACCUCCAGCCUGCAGUGGGUACGGGCAGACUAGAGUGCGGUAGGGGAGAUUGGAAUUCCUGGUGUAGCGGUGGAAUGCGCAGAUAUCAGGAGGAACACCGAUGGCGAAGGCAGAUCUCUGGGCCGUAACUGACGCUGAGGAGCGAAAGCGUGGGGAGCGAACAGGAUUAGAUACCCUGGUAGUCCACGCCGUAAACGUUGGGAACUAGAUGUGGGGACCAUUCCACGGUCUCCGUGUCGCAGCUAACGCAUUAAGUUCCCCGCCUGGGGAGUACGGCCGCAAGGCUAAAACUCAAAGGAAUUGACGGGGGG